GUGCAGCACUACGGGCGCUUCGGUGGUAGAUCACCUUUGGACAGUAUAUCUCAUUCUCUGUUGUGCACGAGUGUGCUCCAACAACCUGCUCCAUGAGCUAAGUGACGAGAAUGGAGAAUCAUCUGCCAGAGGCUAAUCGCCGCACGAAUGCUGAGAUUGUACCGUUAAGACUCGAUCAAGUUAAUGCUUGCGUGGGAAACGUGCUGCCGCUUUUUG
rnacentral:ncRNA from 1 species